GGGGUUGUGCCAUAAAUGUCGCGUGGCUUAUCCCGGAUCCCGUCGCCAGAUCGGCGCCACCGUGUACAUCACCAACUGUAUACUAGUCCACACUUUUGGUGGCAGCAGCCCAGUCUAAGGUCCAAUCCCCGAACCGAACGGUCGCCCGAAAUACUUAGCGAACGAGUGUGGUUAGCAGUUCAGUAGAGUGGCAAAAUGGACGCGCGAUUCAGAAGCAAUCUCGACAUGAUCGGGCGCAACGAGCCCAUCACAAGAAAGGCGAAAUUUUGGCAAAGUUACGUACGGGCCCUGAAAGGUACUGACGACAUCAGAGCUCCUGAGCACACUCACAGGCCCCGCAGCAUUUUCCGCUCGGAAUUUCCUGAGCUGCAUUCCACCUCGUGGCCGUUUGGAAAGUCAAUCUACGAAAACCCGAUUCACGCAGCCGACCGUAUUAAUGUUCCCGGAUACAGGUAUCUACCCGUGCACCGUGAGAUCUACGGUUACUCACCAAGGCAGCUGUAUCCCCAUCAGUACAAACCCAUAGAGCGCUUCACCCCCGCAAAACCAUUCGACGCUGAGAAGGCUUGGACUGAUCAUCUCAACCGCUUGGCGGAUAUCGACAGAAUGUACCCUAGCAAAUCACCGCUCUUGGCUCGUCAUUUAAGCCCACCGCUCAGUAUGAAACGAUUGUUCGAUAUUCAUGGUAAUCUCGUGGACGACGAUUUCUUAUUGCCACGUCCAAGGGUCCUGUUGCGCAAGAAGCCGUUCUACGAUCUCCUGGAACCAUCACCAAUGGCACCGAUUAGUGCGUUUACCAGGGACCCAUGGUGGUACCCGAGCUACGCGCCUUAUAUUCCGAGUUACGCUCAAUACCGCACACCGUUCUUUCUGAGGGACAGUUAUCUCAGCCCAAUUAAGCGUAGCUAUCUGUGGAGCCGACAUCCCUUCAGGCCCUUUGUUUAGACACUUAUGAAAGACGAGAUAUUUUUCGCACAAGAGGUGUUUUUUUCGUUUCCAUUCGUUUUCGUAAUAUACGUGAGCCAUUGGAACUCAUACUCAGCCGUCUAUCUUUUUACCAGUAGAAUAGUUUUAAUCUCGGAGCGUUAUACUACUAUUAUUCGCAGCCAGUUCCACGAUUUCACUUUACCAGCCCGUGGUACAAUAAACGUACCACGUAUUAAACGAAAAAACUCACGCUUACUGAUGACUGCCUGGUACCAUACGGAAAGCGUGAAAUAAAAAAAAUCGACGAAAAAAGAAAAAAAUAAUGCCUGAAAAGGUCAAUCAAAAAAAGAAAACUUGUAUCACGUCCCAAAAGAAUUUUGGCGUCUCUCUAUCACAGUGCAUAUUUCCACGGAAUUUUAUUUAUUUAUUAACAUUUCUCGCCAUAUGAUUUAUUGUACCUUUCAUCCAUUAUCUGAAAUAAAACACUGCCAAAAUUUUA